UACGAAGGGUCCAAGCGUUGUUCGGAAUCAUUGGGCGUAAAGCGCGCGCAGGCGGAUCAGCAAGUCAGAUGUGAAAUCUCGGAGCUCAACUUCGAAACUGCGUCUGAAACUGCUAGUCUAGAAUGUCGGAGGGGGCAGGGGAAUUUCACGUGUAGGGGUAAAAUCCGGUAGAGAUGUGAAGGAACACCGGGGGCGAAGGCGCCUGCCUGGACGACUAUGACGCUGAGGCGCGAAAGGCGUGGGGAGCAAACAGG
rnacentral:rRNA from 1 species